rnacentral:misc_RNA from 1 species
AAGUCGUAACAAGGUUUCCGUAGGUGAACCUGCGGAAGGAUCAUUACCGAGAUAGGGUCCCUAGGGGCCCGACCUCCAACCCCAUAUCUACCUUACCACUGUUGCCUCGGCGGGACGCCGACGCCCCCUAGAAAGGGCGCUGGCCGUCGGCCUCGCGGUCGUCGAGCGCCCGUCGACGGACGAUUUAAAACCCUUUUUAAUGAAGCCUUCUGAGAGUAUUAUACAAUACUUCAAAACUUUCAACAACGGAUCUCUUGGUUCUG